rnacentral:rRNA from 1 species
CGCNGNCCNUCACACCAUCGGNAUGCUGCCCAGAUGGGAUUAGCCUAGAUAGGUGAGGUANUGGCUCACCUAGGCGACGAUCCCUAGNUGGUCUGAGAGGAUGACCAGCCACACUGGAACUGANACACGGUCCAGACUCCUACGGGAGGCAGCAGUGGGGAAUAUUGCACAAUGGGCGCAAGCCUGAUGCAGCCAUGCCGCGUGUGUGAAGAAGGCCUUCGGGUUGUAAAGCACUUUCAGCGAGGAGGAAGGGUUCGGUGUUAAUAGCACCGUUCAUUGACGUUACUCGCANAAGAAGCACCGGCUAACUCCGUGCCAGCAGCCGCGGUAAUACGGAGGGUGCAAGCGUUAAUCGGAAUUACUGGGCGUAAAGCGCACGCAGGCGGUUUGUUAAGUCAGAUGUGAAAUCCCCGAGCUUAACUUGGGAACUGCAUUUGAAACUGGCAAGCUAGAGUCUUGUAGAGGGGGGUAGAAUUCCAGGUGUAGCGGUGAAAUGCGUAAAGAUCUGGAGGAAUACCGGUGGCGAAGGCNGCCCCCUGGACAAAGACUGACGCUCANGUGCGAAAAGCGUGGGUAAGCAAACAGGAUUANAUACCC